rnacentral:rRNA from 1 species
AUGGAGGAAGGGAUCGGGUGGCUAGCGCAGGCCAUCCUCGCAAGCCCCCUGAUCGACAAGCAUGAUCCCUGGGUUAGCGAAGCCGGGCUCGCAGAGGAGAUCGACGGGCUCAAGUCUGAAAUCAAGGGAGUCCACAUGGUGGUCUCUGCUGUGAAGGGCAGGGCGCUCGGGAACGAGGCACUGGCUGGAUCUCUUGUUCAUCUCAAGGAGGUGCUCUAUGACGCCCGAAACCUAGUCGACGACCUCGACCACUACAGGCUCCAACAAGGCAAGCCCGCUUCGAUCGAGCCAACAAGUAGCAGCCAUGGCAAGAGGCUACGGUCCAAGGCGUGGGACCAUUUCGUCGUGACAAGAGAUGCAGAAAAAGAAUGA